GACAGAGGGUGCAAACGUUGCUCGGAAUCACUGGGCGUAAAGGGCGCGUAGGCGGGAAUGUAAGUCGGGCGUGAAAUCCCCAGGCUCAACCUGGGAACUGCACUCGAAACUGCGUUUCUUGAGUAUCGGAGAGGAAAGCGGAAUUCCUGGUGUAGAGGUGAAAUUCGUAGAUAUCAGGAGGAACACCAGUGGCGAAGGCGGCUUUCUGGACGGUAACUGACGCUGAGGCGCGAAAGCUAGGGGAGCAAACAGG
rnacentral:rRNA from 1 species